GAUACACAGAAGCUCUAGAGUAACUCGGGGAGGCAGAGCAGGGGCAGAAAGAAAAACCCAAAGAUCCGUCCUUUGCUGCUCCCCAAAGGAUCACACUUCUCCCAGUACCCCAUCAGUCCAAGCUGCCCUUCUACUUCUUUGUUCGCAUGAUCCAAUCUUAAAACCUAUAAAUCAACUAAACCCCAGCUUAUUUACAACGUCUCCAUCUGUUCUGAUCAUGGCCCAUUCGGCAGCAGUCUCGCAGGUUUCUUUUGCUGUUCCUGUUGGGAGCGAUUCCACUCUAAGAAGAUCAGUUCUUAAGCCACGCAGUAUAAGCUUCAGUGAUAAAUCAUGGGUCCCUUCAUUAGCUUUGGAUUUGAAAUCAAGGAAUGCUCGAUUGCAAAAUCAUUACAUAGUAUGCAUGUCAUUGCAACAAGCCAGCAGAUCUAAGGUUGCAGUUUCACCUUUAGAAUUUGAAGAUGCCAAAGAGCCUCCAUUGAAUUUAUACAAGCCCAAGGAACCUUACACAGCAACCAUUGUCUCUGUUGAGAAGCUUGUAGGACCAAAAGCUCCUGGAGAAACUUGCCAUAUUGUGAUUGAUCAUGGUGGUAAUGUUCCUUACUGGGAAGGACAAAGUUACGGUGUUAUCCCUCCUGGUGAAAACCCAAAGAAGCCAGGGGCACCUCACAAUGUACGUCUCUAUUCAAUAGCGUCUACCAGGUACGGAGACAAUUUUGAUGGCAAGACAGCUACUUUAUGUGUUCGUCGUGCUCUCUAUUAUGAUCCUGAGAGUGGAAAGGAGGACCCCUCAAAGAGCGGUAUAUGCAGCAAUUUCCUUUGCAACUCAAAGCCUGGGGAUAAGGUUCAGAUCACUGGACCCUCUGGCAAGAUAAUGCUUUUGCCUGAAGACAACCCUAAUGCCACCCACAUAAUGAUUGCUACUGGUACUGGUGUGGCUCCUUUUAGAGGCUACCUUCGUCGUAUGUUCACAGAGGAUGUCCCUACAUUCAAGUUUGGUGGUCUCGCUUGGCUUUUCCUUGGGGUAGCGAACACUGACAGUCUCCUCUAUGAUGAUGAAUUCACGAAGUUUCUUCAAGACUACCCAGACCACUUCCGCUAUGACAAGGCACUUAGCAGAGAACAAAAGAACAGGAGCGGAGGAAAGAUGUAUGUGCAGGACAAAAUUGAGGAAUACAGCGAUGAAAUCUUCAAACUCUUGGAUGGUGGAGCUCACAUCUACUUCUGUGGGCUCAAGGGAAUGAUGCCCGGAAUCCAAGACACACUGAAGAGAGUCGCAGAGCAGAGAGGAGAAAGCUGGGAGCAGAAGCUUUCACAGCUCAAGAAGAACAAGCAAUGGCAUGUGGAGGUGUAUUGAUUUGCAUAUUGUUAACCUCAUUCUCAUCUUUCUUGUGGGAAAAAGCAGCAGCCCGUUCCUCCUCAGCGAAUGCUGCAUUUUACAAUUGUUAUUUGGUCAGCUUUGCAUAAACUCAGAUAAGCUGUUAAAUUCAUCUAUAUUAUUAAAUAAUCAAAUGAUUCUCUUGACCAUAGCAGAUGAAGAAUCCUUUUGGGUUUAUGAUUGUUAAAGAUUCAUGUAUUAGCAGUGUCCAGUGAACUGGUGUUGUCUUUGCCUUCACUGGCAUAGCCACCUUUCAUGCAAAUGCAACGGUAGGUGAAGAUCACCUUAGACAAUCCAGCUCCCUGUUCUUGCAUAUGCAUGUUUUGUUGGGUACUAAAGAUAUGGAGGCCUCCUCUCUCAGCCUCUUGUACUGAUGUCCAAGUCUAAAUCCUUCAUUAUCCAGCACUAAAAAGUGCAAUCUCACAAGACUGUCCCGCCUUCAUUGGAAUUCUUCAUAUUAUCAUUAUUUUCUUUCAAUAUAUUUCAUUGGCAC
rnacentral:misc_RNA from 1 species